GGCUCAGGACGAACGCUGGCGGCGUGCUUAACACAUGCAAGUCGAGCGGUAAGGCUCCUUCGGGAGUACACGAGCGGCGAACGGGUGAGUAACACGUGAGCAAUCUGCCCUUCACUUCGGGAUAACUCCGGGAAACCGGUGCUAAUACCGAAUACGACCACUUCACGCAUGUGAUGGUGGUGGAAAGUUCUGGCGGUGGAGGAUGAGCUCGCGGCCUAUCAGCUUGUUGGUGGGGUAAUGGCCCACCAAGGCAACGACGGGUAGCCGGCCUGAGAGGGUGACCGGCCACACUGGGACUGAGACACGGCCCAGACUCCUACGGGAGGCAGCAGUGGGGAAUAUUGGACAAUGGGCGAAAGCCUGAUCCAGCAACGCCGCGUGAGGGAUGACGGCCUUCGGGUUGUAAACCUCUUUCACCUAUGACGAAGCGCAAGUGACGGUAG
rnacentral:rRNA from 1 species